GUUCCCUUGAUGUGGAUGAUGCCUCUGUGGUCGGACUCGUUCAUCCGGACCGCACUAACCCUUUAGCUGCUGGUGACGGUACAGACAUGUCAAUUUCAAGAGGUGCGAUUGGUCGGAUUCCCAGUAUUGUCAUCACCUCUGAGUCUAGCCCUUUCCUGCCCUCGGUACGGCCCAGCUACAGAAGCAGCCGCUCAAGCACGUCCCGUGCUGGGGCAAAUCCCCCCAGGAGAGACUCUCGUGGAGGAGUCCAGCAGGGGGCAGUGCAUCUCUCCACUGCUGCUAAAACACCUGAAUCUGCUCACUUAGACAACCCUUAGUGCUUAUACCUCUUCACUCGCCAUCUGAAACUUACCUUCAAGCUUUGUAUUGGGGUUCAGUAUUUUUUGUGAGUUAUCCUGCUCUGUGGUUUAGACCUUUAGUAAAGGGAACUUGAAAUGAAGACAAAACCUGAUAGAUUAAUCAGUGCUCUGUAUCACAGAAGGUAAAAUAUGAAAGUGUGUGACUUUCAUAUUUUACCUUCUGUGAUACAGAGCACUGAUCACAAACAUUGAUGGUCACACAUUGAUGUCUUUUACAUGUGUAAUACGUUUUUAUAAUGACCUCAACUGUUACACACACAAUGUCCAGCACCUUUGUUUCCCUCUAUUUUAAGGAAAUAUUUAACAGACAGUGCUUUGAAUCAGGCAAAGUUACUGCUCAAUCCGCGGAGACUUGGAUGGAAGGAGAGAAAGCAUCUUAUAUUAUUUUAGUCUGGUCAUCAAUGUCAAAUGGCAUGUACAGGAUCGUCUUAAGAGGUAUGUGAGUUUUGCUCAUGAGACACUGAAAUGCUUGCUUCCACAGAACUUCAAGGUAUGCAAUAUGAAGCCAUAUUACAGAAACAUCCUAACUCAGAAUUCAGUUUUAUCUGUUGUUGAGUAACCAUGGUUAUAUCAUUUUGAAUAUUAAACUUCUCAGAUCUUCAGACUUAAAGCUACACUAUGUAACUUUUUUUAUAUAUAAAAAAAACAGCAAAUUGUUAUUGAUGAGAGAGUGUAAAAAAUGCAUCUUCCAAGCCAUAACUUUUCUUUAUAAUACUGAUUUAUAAUUUAGACAGGAAAUCUUAUACAUAUGUUAUUCUCCUGUGCUUGUCACGUCAUAUCUGUAUACAAAGUAAACCUCUGGUAUUAAAACAUAAAAACUUGUCCAUCCUCUCUGGUAAGAAACCCUGUAUCCAUGUGCACACCAGUGCCUCAGACCACAUUCAUUCGCACAGAGACAGAGCUGAAGCACAACCAAAGCAAUGUUCUUCUGCAAGACGCAUGCAGAUUUAUUGUGUAACCUCUAGAGGGCCACAAGUUCCUUAGGGCUUGUUCCUGUACCCACACUUAUAUUGGGAUUUUACAUUGGAAUUAAUUAAUUUUCUUCCAAAAAGUCCAUAGUGUAGCUUUAAGAUAGGAAGUUUCUGUCAUUUUGCCUCUCACCAUUAAUUUCUGGUUUGUCAUUUUUGACGUUUUUUCUUUUUAGUUUCACUAUAUGUGCGGAAGUUGUAAAUGUGUGUUUCUAAUCAUAAAGGUCUUGUUAUGUUAUAUUUGGAUCCUGAAAGUAACAUUCUGGUGCAACAGAAUCCUGAGAACUUCAGCGUUAAGAAUGUGGAAUUUCAUUUGUUAUCAUAGUUUGCAAGUAUGGGCUAUCACAUUAUUGAAAAUAGAAUCAGCACCUCAAUUCACCAUAAAGCAUCUGUUUAUC